GACGAACGCUGGCGGCGUGCCUAAUACAUGCAAGUCGAACGAGAGCGACCGGUGCUUGCACUGGUCAAUCUAGUGGCGAACGGGUGAGUAACACGUGGGUAACCUGCCCAUCAGAGGGGGAUAACAUCCGGAAACGGAUGCUAAAACCGCAUAGGUCUUCGAACCGCAUGGUUUGAAGAGGAAAAGAGGCGCAAGCUUCUGCUGAUGGAUGGACCCGCGGUGCAUUAGCUAGUUGGUGAGGUAACGGCUCACCAAGGCCGUGAUGCAUAGCCGACCUGAGAGGGUGAUCGGCCACAUUGGGACUGAGACACGGCCCAAACUCCUACGGGAGGCAGCAGUAGGGAAUCUUCCGCAAUGGACGCAAGUCUGACGGAGCAACGCCGCGUGAGUGAAGAAGGUUUUCGGAUCGUAAAACUCUGUUGUUAGAGAAGAACAAGUGCUAGAGUAACUGUUAGCGCCUUACGGUAUCUAACCAGAAAGCCACGGCUAACUACGUG
rnacentral:rRNA from 1 species